rnacentral:miRNA from 1 species
CACGAAGAUGGAAUACGCCAUG